rnacentral:rRNA from 1 species
GAUGAACGCUAGCUACAGGCUUAACACAUGCAAGUCGAGGGGAAACGAUGAGAGAGCUUGCUCUCUUAGUCGUCGACCGGCGCACGGGUGAGUAACGCGUAUCCAACCUGCCUCUGACCAAGGGAUAACCCGUCGAAAGUCGGACUAAUACCUUAUGCAGUCGUCGGAAGUCAUCUGAUGACGACGAAAGAUUUCAUCGGUGAGAGAUGGGGAUGCGUCUGAUUAGCUUGUUGGCGGGGUAACGGUCCACCAAGGCGACGAUCAGUAGGGGUUCUGAGAGGAAGGUCCCCCACAUUGGAACUGAGACACGGUCCAAACUCCUACGGGAGGCAGCAGUGAGGAAUAUUGGUCAAUGGGCGUAAGCCUGAACCAGCCAAGUAGCGUGCAGGAUGACGGCCCUAUGGGUUGUAAACUGCUUUUAUGCGGGGAUAAAGUGAGGGACGUGUCCUUCAUUGCAGGUACCGCAUGAAUAAGGACCGGCUAAUUCCGUG